GAGUAAAGAUUUCGGUCGCUUUGGGAGGAGCUCGCUUACUAUCAGCUUGUUGGUAGGGUAAUGGCCUACCAAGGCUAUGACGGUUAGGGGGUGUGAGAGCAUGACCCCCAGCAUUGGCACUGAAACACUGGCCAAACACCUACGGGUGGCUGCAGUCGAGAAUCUUCCACAAUGGGGGAAACCCUGAUGGAGCGAUGCUGCGUGCGGGAUGAAGGCCUUCGGGUUGUAAACCGCUUUUGUAGGGGACGAAAUUUUUGACGGUACCCUUUCGAAUAAGAGGUUGCUAACUCUGUGCCAGCAGCAGCGGUAAUACAGAGACCUCAAGCGUUAUCCGGAUUUACUGGGCGUAAAAGCGUCUGUAGGGGGUUUAUUAAGUUCCAAGUAAAAUUUCAAGGCUCAACUUUGAAUUCGCUUGGAAAACUAAUAAACUGGAGUCUAGCAGAGGUGCAUGGAACUUGUGGUGUAGGAGUGAAAUCCGUUGAUAUCACAAGGAACACCAAAGGCGAAGGCAUUGCACUGGGCUAGCACUGACCCUGAGAGACGAAAGCGUGGGGAGCAAAACGGAUUAGAUACCCGUGUAGUCCACGCCCUAAACGAUGAAUGCUAAAUGUUCGGGGAUUCGACCCCCUGGGUGUUACAGCUAACGCGUUAAGCAUUCCGCCUGGGAAGUACGGCCGCAAGGCUAAAACUCAAAGGAAUAGACGGGGAUCCGCACAAGCGGUGGAGCGUCUGGUUUAAUUCGACAGUAAGCGUGGUACCUCACCAGGGUUUGACAUCCCUUGACAGCCUUGGAAACAAGGUUUCCUUCGGGCAAGGUGACAGGUGCUGCAUGGCCGUCGUCAGUUCGUGCCGUGAGGUGUUCCGUUAAGUCGGGAAACGAACGAAACCCCUAUUGCAUGUUACAAUUUCUCAUGCAAGACUGCCCGGAUAUACUGGGAGGAAGGUGGGGAUGACGUCAGAUCUGCAUGGUCCUUAUACCCUGGGCGACACAGGCGCUACAAUGGCAGAGACAAAGGGUUGCAAAACCGCAAGGUGAAGCUAAUCCCAAAAACUUUGUCUAAGUUCGGAUUGAAGGCUGCAAUUCGCCUUCAUGAAGCUGGAAUCGCUAGUAAUCGUGAAUCAGCCACGUCACGGUGAAUAUGUUCCCGGAUCUUGUACUCACCGCCCGUCACACCAAGAGAGU
rnacentral:rRNA from 1 species